rnacentral:tRNA from 1 species
GCCGGAGUGGCCCAGCACGGUAAGGCGCGCAGCUCGGUACUGCGUGACCAUUUUUGUGGUCUCUAGGGUUCAAAUCCCUACUCCGGCG